AACCCAUCCAUCCAUUUCCAGAAGCUUCACUCAUUCUUCUUCUCUGCGCUUUCCGUUUCACCAGUUCGAAUCUCUAGCAUUUUAGCUCGCAUAGUACACGGUAUAUCACAGCUCAACAAUGAUUCUUGUGAAUCGCAAGAACGUAUGGUAUUAUGGGUCAGUUUCUCUCUGUUUUUUUUUCAAUACCCAUCUGAGAUGUGUAGAUCGUACCAGCUAAUUUCAAUUUCUAGAUUGAAUCUUGCAGAAAAGGUAACUUGCAUGGUAUAUCUUUCAAGAUAUUUAUAUUCUAUCAUACAAAUAAUCGCAUUUUAAUAUUUACGAAACCCUAAAUGUUUAUAAUGCGUAUGUAGACUCAACAAUCUGCCUAAGUCCGAUUCCAGUAUAGAUCUUCCUAAAUAGUUAAUUCGAAAGCACAUGCAGUACAUUUUUGUUUAAGAGCUGUAUCUUAGUCAGUAUUGGUUAGUAUGUUUGUUAGAUUCGACGUUUUAAUAUCCAAUUUGCUACAAAUUUCAUUCAAUUUCUAUGUUGAAUUGUUCUGAAUUGCAUUAUUAUGUUAAUGCAACAAAAAUUCAUCAGCAUUCCUGAAUUAUUAAUUCUGUUUUCUGAGUGUUAAAAAAAAAGUCUUUAUACAAAAAAAAAAUCUAUUUGUUGUUUUGUUUGUACUGUGUGUAAUUCUUGCAACUUGCAAUUUGCUAGUUUUCCAGUAAUGGCAACCCAAUUACAUAGAACCCACCGACGCCACCUGUAAAUCUGUCAUGAAGGGAAAUAAUAUUGUUCUAGUUUGCAUAUAUUUUGAAGAAUUUGAGGAAGAGAGAAUAUUCCUGUGGACUGUAAAGUUUUUCCUGCAUAGCAGUUACUCACAGACGGAAAGCAGAGCUCAAAAUCAUUAAAAAAUAAAGACAAAGUCAAUACAUUAUAAGACGUUUAAAGCUAUAACAACAGGCUAAAUGCAUACAGAUUCAACAUAGUUUGAAGCAGUCUUGAAGGUAUACUUAAGCAUAGAUCAAGGAUAUGAAGUGCAUUGCAAGCACUGAGUGACUAAGGUUCAUUUAGGCACAGAUUAUGGAUAUGAAGUACAUAUUUUGCAGAUUUUAUGGGAAAAUACACAUUACAGACAGCAGCAAGCACUAUGCAUAUGUGAGAUGGGACUAAAAUGUAGGAGAGCAGCAAACAGUACACCUUACAGAGAGGAGCAAACAGUAUACAUAUGUGAUAUGAGACUUAAAUGUGGGAUCAGAAAAAGAAGAUGAAAUGGGAGAUAGAGUUUGCUGGAGUUGAUCACUGCUUGUUUAUAACUCGGUAUAUAUGAAGCCUUUACAGUGGAAAGGCUUCCAACCGUUAAUGAAUGAAUCAUUAAAUUCACAUUGGACAUGUAAACGUCCAAAAAGUAUGGGAAAGAGUGAUUGUAAUUACUGUAAUAUAUUUAAAUUGUAAUAUUGUAGUAUGUAGUAUAUAUUUAGUAUAUAGAUAUAGAUACAGAUGUAGUAUAUAUAUAUAUAGAUAGAUAUUAUAUAGAUAUGGAACAAUUACCAAUCACUGAAGAAUAAAAUUAAACCCUUCGUUUCUUUAUUGUUCAGUGAUGGUAAUCGAUCCAUUUACCCA